rnacentral:rRNA from 1 species
AGGGUAUAGACCCGAAACCCGGUGAUCUAGCCAUGGGCAGGUUGAAGGUUGGGUAACACUAACUGGAGGACCGAACCGACUAAUGUUGAAAAAUUAGCGGAUGACUUGUGGCUGGGGGUGAAAGGCCAAUCAAACCGGGAGAUAGCUGGUUCUCCCCGAAAGCUAUUUAGGUAGCGCCUCGUGAAUUCAUCUCCGGGGGUAGAGCACUGUUUCGGCAAGGGGGUCAUCCCGACUUACCAACCCGAUGCAAACUGCGAAUACCGGAGAAUGUUAUCACGGGAGACACACGGCGGGUGCUAACGUCCGUCGUGAAGAGGGAAACAACCCAGACCGCCAGCUAAGGUCCCAAAGUCAUGGUUAAGUGGGAAACGAUGUGGGAAGGCCCAGACAGCCAGGAUGUUGGCUUAGAAGCAGCCAUCAUUUAAAGAAAGCGUAAUAGCUCACUGGUCGAGUCGGCCUGCGCGGAAGAUGUAACGGGGCUAAACCAUGCACCGAAGCUGCGGCAGCGACGCUGAUGCGUUGUUGGGUAGGGGAGCGUUCUGUAAGCCUGUGAAGGUGUGCUGUGAGGCAUGCUGGAGGUAUCAGAAGUGCGAAUGCUGACAUAAGUAACGAUAAAGCGGGUGAAAAGCCCGCUCGCCGGAAGACCAAGGGUUCCUGUCCAACGUUAAUCGGGGCAGGGUGAGUCGACCCCUAAGGCGAGGCCGAAAGGCGUAGUCGAUGGGAAACAGGUUAAUAUUCCUGUACUUGGUGUUACUGCGAAGGGGGGACGGAGAAGGCUAUGUUGGCCGGGCGACGGUUGUCCCGGUUUAAGCGUGUAGGCUGGUUUUCCAGGCAAAUCCGGAAAACUAAGGCUGAGGCGUGAUGACGAGGCACUACGGUGCUGAAGCAACAAAUGCCCUGCUUCCAGGAAAAGCCUCUAAGCAUCAGGUAACAUCAAAUCGUACCCCAAACCGACACAGGUGGUCAGGUAGAGAAUACCAAGGCGCUUGAGAGAACUCGGGUGAAGGAACUAGGCAAAAUGGUGCCGUAACUUCGGGAGAAGGCACGCUGAUAUGUAGGUGAAGUCCCUCGCGGAUGGAGCUGAAAUCAGUCGAAGAUACCAGCUGGCUGCAACUGUUUAUUAAAAACACAGCACUGUGCAAACACGAAAGUGGACGUAUACGGUGUGACGCCUGCCCGGUGCCGGAAGGUUAAUUGAUGGGGUCAGCGCAAGCGAAGCUCUUGAUCGAAGCCCCGGUAAACGGCGGCCGUAACUAUAACGGUCCUAAGGUAGCGAAAUUCCUUGUCGGGUAAGUUCCGACCUGCACGAAUGGCGUAAUGAUGGCCAGGCUGUCUCCACCCGAGACUCAGUGAAAUUGAACUCGCUGUGAAGAUGCAGUGUACCCGCGGCAAGACGGAAAGACCCCGUGAACCUUUACUAUAGCUUGACACUGAACAUUGAGCCUUGAUGUGUAGGAUAGGUGGGAGGCUUUGAAGUGUGGACGCCAGUCUGCAUGGAGCCGACCUUGAAAUACCACCCUUUAAUGUUUGAUGUUCUAACGUUGACCCGUAAUCCGGGUUGCGGACAGUGUCUGGUGGGUAGUUUGACUGGGGCGGUCUCCUCCUAAAGAGUAACGGAGGAGCACGAAGGUUGGCUAAUCCUGGUCGGACAUCAGGAGGUUAGUGCAAUGGCAUAAGCCAGCUUGACUGCGAGCGUGACGGCGCGAGCAGGUGCGAAAGCAGGUCAUAGUGAUCCGGUGGUUCUGAAUGGAAGGGCCAUCGCUCAACGGAUAAAAGGUACUCCGGGGAUAACAGGCUGAUACCGCCCAAGAGUUCAUAUCGACGGCGGUGUUUGGCACCUCGAUGUCGGCUCAUCACAUCCUGGGGCUGAAGUAGGUCCCAAGGGUAUGGCUGUUCGCCAUUUAAAGUGGUACGCGAGCUGGGUUUAGAACGUCGUGAGACAGUUCGGUCCCUAUCUGCCGUGGGCGCUGGAGAACUGAGGGGGGCUGCUCCUAGUACGAGAGGACCGGAGUGGACGCAUCACUGGUGUUCGGGUUGUCAUGCCAAUGGCACUGCCCGGUAGCUAAAUGCGGAAGAGAUAAGUGCUGAAAGCAUCUAAGCACGAAACUUGCCCCGAGAUGAGUUCUCCCUGACUCCUUGAGAGUCCUGAAGGAACGUUGAAG